CAGCCGCCGCGGUAAUACGGAGGGUGCAAGCGUUAUCCGGAUUUAUUGGGUUUAAAGGGUCCGUAGGCGGGCCCGUAAGUCAGUGGUGAAAUCUCGCAGCUUAACUGUGAAACUGCCAUUGAUACUGCGGGUCUUGAGUAAAUUUGAAGUGGCUGGAAUAAGUAGUGUAGCGGUGAAAUGCAUAGAUAUUACUUAGAACACCAAUUGCGAAGGCAGGUCACUAAGAUUUAACUGACGCUGAUGGACGAAAGCGUGGGGAGCGAACAGGAUUAGAUACCCUGGUAGUCCACGCCGUAAACGAUGCUAACUCGUUUUUGGAUUUUCGGAUUCAGAGACCAAGCGAAAGUGAUAAGUUAGCCACCUGGGGAGUACGAUCGCAAGAUUGAAACUUAAAGGAAUUGGCGGG
rnacentral:rRNA from 1 species